rnacentral:rRNA from 1 species
GUGAGGAAUAUUGGACAAUGGGUGAGAGCCUGAUCCAGCCAUCCCGCGUGAAGGAUGACGGCCCUAUGGGUUGUAAACUUCUUUUGUAUAGGGAUAAACCUAGAUACGUGUAUCUAGCUGAAGGUACUAUACGAAUAAGCACCGGCUAACUCCGUGCCAGCAGCCGCGGUAAUACGGAGGGUGCAAGCGUUAUCCGGAUUUAUUGGGUUUAAAGGGUCCGUAGGCUGAUAUGUAAGUCAGUGGUGAAAUCUCACAGCUUAACUGUGAAACUGCCAUUGAUACUGCAUGUCUUGAGUGUUAUUGAAGUAGCUGGAAUAAGUAGUGUAGCGGUGAAAUGCAUAGAUAUUACUUAGAACACCAAUUGCGAAGGCAGGUUACUAAGCAACAACUGACGCUGAUGGACGAAAGCGUGGGGAGCGAACAGGAUUAGAAACCCCUGUAGUCC